rnacentral:tRNA from 1 species
GCCUGGAAGGCUCAGAGGUUGAGCAUCUGCCUUUGGCUCAGGACAUGAUUCCGGAGUCCUGGGUUCAAGUCUCAGAUCAGGCU